GUGUGUGUGAGUGUGUGUGUGAGUGUGUGUGUGUGUGUGUGUGUGUGUGAGAGAGAGUGUUUGUAGAUGGCUCUUGGCUGAUGGAGUGCUCCAGAUGUUGGACACUUGGCUUACAAAUGACUCUGGACAAUUUCCCACAGAAAUCUAAAAAUAACUCUCAGUGGGUUUAUCCACCCCUCAGCCCACACCAACACUACAGCACAGCCACUCUGGAGGACAGUGUCUGAGAGUGUGUGUGAGAGAAAGAGAGAGAGAGAGAGUUUGUGUGUGUGAGAGAGAGAGAGUGAGUGUGUGUGAGAGAGAAAGAGAGAGCGAGAGUGAGAGUGUGUGUGUGAGAGAGAAAGAGAGAGAGAGAGUGAGUGUGUGUGUGUGAGAGAGAAAGAGAGAGAGAGAGAGUGAGUGUGUGUGUGAGAGAGAGAAAGAGAGUGAGAGAGAGAGAGAAUGUGUGUGUUGAGUCAAACCUCAGCAUUCUGCUUCUUCCUCAGUGAAGGUAUCUCCAGCUCAACUCCAGAGCAGCACUAGUGUAAAGGACACUCAAUUUAGUGCACUACUAACACCUGAGGAACAGAGAGAGAACGAGAUCCUCCAUCACAGAGUAUUCAUUCAUGAAGUGGAGCUGCUCUGUGUGUGUGUGUGUGUGUGUGUGUGUGUGUGUGUGUGUUACUCUGUGGAGUUAUUCCUGGUUCAUUUCCUACAAAACUAAAUAAACCCUGGGUUAUUUUUAUCUCCUGCCAGGGUGAGACAUGCUGAUCCAGCAGAACCAAGAUCUUCUGUAGCUCAGGAAACUUUUUCUGGUGGUCAGUUUAAGAGGUUUUUUCCCCCUCUAAUUAUUUUCCAUUAAAGUGGAGUGUGUCCAUCAUUACCAGAACCCCAUCAGAACUCUCAGUGUAGUGAAACCAGUGACUCUAAGAUUCUGGGAUGGUGGAACCUCAUUUCCUGUACCAUUUUUAUCAUGCUCCACAGCUCAGAUGUAGGUGAGGAACCGGACGUGGACCGAAAGCUUUGUCCAGAAUCUGAUCUUCUCCUUCACCACCUCGGAGCAGAGACUGUAAGACUGCUGCUGUUAAACUGAUCUGGUCACUAAUCUUCUCCAUCACUCCUGCAUUUAAAGAACAUUAUCAUCUAGGCUCUUCCUCCACAUCACUCUUCCUCCAGUUUUCCUUCGUGAGACUCCGAGUGUCAUGGAGGCAGCGGCGCCGUCUCCUGGGAACGCCAAGUGUUCCCACAACCGUCUGAAAACAUCUCCUGUAGGACCUCCGAAGCAGGGACGAGAUCAGCCCUGACCAAGCGGUUUGGUCUUGAUUGUGGAUUAAAGGCUCUGACUGGUUCCUCAGCAGUCAAGUGACCUUCACUGAUCCUGAAGGUCUCCUUCACAGGUUCCUGACCUCCUGAGACUGCUGACUCCACCCGACUCCUCUGGCUGCUGAGACCACAACCUGCUCCAGGUCAGUGUUUCACUGUCCUGAGGGUGGGGCUGAUAACAUUCACCUGGUCAGGUAGACCUCCUGAUUAUCAGCAGGAUGUUUCAGAUCUGAAUUUGUCCGAUUUCUCUCCUUAGAUCUGACCCGUAACAUGACCCUGAGCUUCGAUCUCUCCACCCACAGAGGGAGGAGUUUAUUUAUUGUUCUGGGGUACACAAACUUCUGCACUUGAGUAAACACACUCUGAUGUUUUAAAUCUGAUUCUGUGAAUUUAAGAGAAAGAGGGUUUGUGUUUAGAUUUAUUCAGAAGGACUCGAUGCUCAGUGUGUAAUGUUUUAUUUCGUCUCUACAUGCAGUGUUAAAAAAAUCAACAAAAAUAUCAUUAACAGCGAAGGAAUUAUUUACAGCUUCACAGUACAGGUUUCUCAACAGGCCUACACAUUAAAAUACUCUGGAGAAAAAAAUAAACAAAUAAACAAAAACACAUCCAGCCAGUUUAAAGUGUAAAAUAAAAUGCUUUGUUUUUUUCCUGACGCGAGCGUGAAGGUUAAUGACGUGAAGGAGAGACGCUGAACAUCGCCAGCUGAAGCCAAAAAUCAGCUCACAAACACCGGACUGGAGCUGCUGAUGUGGGCGGAGCUUAUCUCUGCGCUCGUGCCCUGGACAUCAGGACGGUCAGGUGUUUUAUUCGCACAGCAGAUUAAAACAUUCGGACUCACACAGUAACACGCUGAUGACAGAGGUUAAAGGUCAGGUGAUCAUCAGCACACGUCUAAUCAAAUGUAAACAAAUCAGACCGUAACGCUGUAACCAGACUCACAUGCAGAUCUAUGGGGGCGGAGUUUCUCACUUUUCUUCCAGAAUCCUUACAGAAGAUGAUUUCAGUCCAGAGGUUUAUUCACAGAACAUUAUUCUAUUUGAUUUGGAAUUAAAUCCAAAGUGUUUCUGUAACAUUUUCUCAACAUGACGAAGCUGAAUGUCAGCCGUGUUCAGACGCGGUAAAGCUGCUAAUCUCACCUAGCUACAGUGUUAAAGCUAGUGCAAGAUGUGUUCUGUGGGUUUAUUCCACAAACACGCGUCUUCCUCAACAUCACGUUUUACUGCAGAAAUAUAAAGUUUAUAAUAAACUGGGAUUAGAUUUGGGGAUAAAACACUCAGCAGCGUCUUCAGUAACUUUAUACUCGCGGUUAACAAAUCAGUGAAACGGCAGAUGCUAAUCUCCACUCUCCAUCACCUGCUCACGGAUUUAAGCUCCCUGCUAACAGGCUAAUGGUAAUUCUCUAGCUAACAUUUCAGCUGUACACGUUAUUGUAAUUAUAUUAAACACCAGAAACAAACUGACAUUCAUUUAAAGAGAGUUAGAGGAUAACAGCGUCUUGUGUCAUGGCGUGAAGGAGGUUUAUUUCCUAAAAGCAACAGAUUCUACAGAAGAAAUGAUUUAUUACUCAUUUUUAUUUUCAUCCUCAUUCUUCUCCCGCUCUGUUACAUCUUACUUGUCUGUCUCCUGGUGAAAUGUCCAGUGAUUGUAAGGAAAUGACCCACAGCCAGUUUCUCAGUAAGGCACAGAACACACACUUGCCUCUGAAAUGGAUUUCUACACGUUUAUAUUUACAGUGCUGGUCAUUACCUGCAUGACGCGUUGCUAGGCGACUGAGUGGCUAAUUCAGCCAUCAGAACUCUCUCUGCUGUGUGACGGCCGAGUUUAACAGCUCUGAAUUUGGACUUUAACGUAAUGGUUCCCACUAAAACUGGAGUGUGUUUUACCCAUGCAGUAAUUUAGCACAAUGCUAAAGUGGUAGCUAUUAGCUUCCAUUGCUUGUUAGCUACAUUAGCCUCAUAGCUCCAGUGCAAAACUACAGCCUCAGUGAACGGAUUCAUCACUGAAACCCAGGAGAUUCGUGUGAAACACUUAACCUCAGUGUGUCUCUGAAAUUUGAUAAAAUAAUAUGUUGUUCUGUGGCUCACACACACACACACACACACACACACACACACACACACACACACA